rnacentral:rRNA from 1 species
AAGCGUUGUCCGGAAUUAUUGGGCGUAAAGAGCUCGUAGGCGGUUUGUCGCGUCUGCUGUGAAAACCUAAGGCUCAACCUUGGGCUUGCAGUGGGUACGGGCAGACUAGAGUGCGGUAGGGGUGACUGGAAUUCCUGGUGUAGCGGUGGAAUGCGCAGAUAUCAGGAGGAACACCGAUGGCGAAGGCAGGUCACUGGGCCGCAACUGACGCUGAGGAGCGAAAGCAUGGGGAGCGAACAGG